GAGCCGACCUUGAAAUACCACCCUUUAAUGUUUGAUGUUCUAACGUGGACCCGUGAUCCGGGUUGCGGACAGUGUCUGGUGGGUAGUUUGACUGGGGCGGUCUCCUCCUAAAGAGUAACGGAGGAGCACGAAGGUUGGCUAAUCCUGGUCGGACAUCAGGAGGUUAGUGCAAUGGCAUAAGCCAGCUUGACUGCGAGCGUGACGGCGCGAGCAGGUGCGAAAGCAGGUCAUAGUGAUCCGGUGGUUCUGAAUGGAAGGGCCAUCGCUCAACGGAUAAAAGGUACUCCGGGGAUAACAGGCUGAUACCGCCCAAGAGUUCAUAUCGACGGCGGUGUUUGGCACCUCGAUGUCGGCUCAUCACAUCCUGGGGCUGAAGUAGGUCCCAAGGGUAUGGCUGUUCGCCAUUUAAAGUGGUACGCGAGCUGGGUUUAGAACGUCGUGAGACAGUUCGGUCCCUAUCUGCCGUGGGCGCUGGAGAACUGAGGGGGGCUGCUCCUAGUACGAGAGGACCGGAGUGGACGCAUCACUGGUGUUCGGGUUGUCAUGCCAAUGGCACUGCCCGGUAGCUAAAUGCGGAAGAGAUAAGUGCUGAAAGCAUCUAAGCACGAAACUUGCCCCGA
rnacentral:rRNA from 1 species